rnacentral:ncRNA from 1 species
AAGCAAGCAGGAGACAACGAACUGCUACGUGUAAUUGGUCACUUGGGUGGCGGGAGCCAGUAGUGAGACCGGCCUGAACAAGG